UACAAUGUAUACACGGAAAUUAAAUUUGACAAGGCGCAUUAAAAUUUAAAACAAAAAUGUAAUUACAAUAAAUGUACUUGCAUUACGCACAAUGUUAAGCUAGAUAUUUUAAUAACUAGUGGGCCUAUACGCUUGAAUUGCUUAGUCAUCCUUGUGAUAGGAGGCUUAAAGAAACGUGUCAAUAACGUUACGUGAACUGCAUUAAUGUACGAAAAUAAAUCAUACCUAAAUAAAACCUUACGAAGACGUUAAUCCCAGACCCCUACAUCUGAAAUCUACAGCCAUAGAUACAAAGAACUAUUCUACGAAUUACAGACUGUCAAAAUACAGAUCUUUUUUCCUUACACACGUGACAUUUUGUGAUCUGCGUGGGGCAAAUACCGGUUUCUUUUAGAUUUUCUGUCAUAUUUUUUUUUUAUAGUUCAUUAUUUUUGAUGGGGUGAAGUGUACGGCCUACUCGUUCUAGUCAAUAAUCUAAACUCAAAAUGACUUUUUGUAAAAAAAUCAAUAUUUUUCUUUUCAUUAAGUGAAACAGCGAGUUUCGACUAUCCGAAAUUCACGCUGUUUCUGACAUAAAUAUUGAUUCCCCUUAAAAAAAACAACAACAAAAACAACAACAACAAAAUACAACAACAAAGAACAAAAAAACAAACAAACAAAUAAAAACAAUAUAUAUCUGGGUUACUCAGCGGGCUCUACACUUAACCCCAUGAAUAAUGAAUAGAAUUUAAAAAAAACUAUUUGGAAGACUGAUUUUACUUUUGAUUUUCUGCCCGAGCAGAUCACAAAAAGUCAAGUGUAAAUUUAUGUCGUACUUUUUCAAAAUGCCAUUUCACACGUUUCUAAAAUACAUUGUAUUUGCUCGUUGUUUUUCAGAAAACAGUAUGAUGGACGGUAUUUAUUUCUCAGUUUUCAUUACCCUUGUACUCGUGGGUUCAGUAGUAGCACCUCCAGCUUCAAGGAUCAGCGAGAUCAAGAUAACCAAUUGUAGCUGCACCAGCUGCUCGUUCAAACAAAUUGGUUAUGGAUACGUUUUUGUUUCGUUCAAUGGUGCAAGGGUAAGAUGCACGAAAUCCGCCAUUUUACGAGGAAGAACAGUUAUCGGGUGGAAUCACAAUUGUCCGAUAUCUAGUUCAUCUGGAAAAUUUGAAGUAAAAGCUGGAAAUAUUUGUGGAAAGGACUACGACCAUGUGUAUCUUAACAAUUGUAAAGGAUAUCCCUGCAGUGGUAUUGGUCGUUAGAAACACCUUUUAUAUAUACAGACGAUUGGACAAGAUUGCAAUGUUAAAGUUUUCCAUUCUGUCAACGUGUUUCCAACUGGACAUUAACAUGAUACAAAACAAAUAGAGUAGUAAUAAAAUAAAGCGAUUGAGAAAUAAUAUCAUGUGCAAUCAGUGCAAAAUAAACUAUUCAAAAGGAAUGUUUGGUCUAUUGCAUAAUAAUAUUUGUACGUGCUUUAUGUUGGCUUUGAUACGAUAUAUAGAUAUGUACCGAUUAAUGUUGUUUGUAAAACGUCCAAGUAUACUUUUAUUUUUA